rnacentral:rRNA from 1 species
UACGAAGGCAGCAAGCGUUGUUCGGAAUUACUGGGCGUAAAGAGUGUGUAGGCGGUGCUCUAAGUUUGGUGUGAAAUCUCCCGGCUUAACUGGGAGGGUGCGCCGAAAACUGGAAUGCUUGAACAUGGGAGAGGAAAGCGGAAUUCCUGGUGUAGCGGUGAAAUGCGUAGAUAUCAGGAGGAACACCUGCGGUGUAGACGGCUUUCUGGACCAUUGUUGACGCUGAGACACGAAAGCGUGGGUAGCAAACAGG